GACGAACGCUGGCGGCGUGCCUAAUACAUGCAAGUCGAACGAGUGGCGGACGGGUGAGUAAUGACUGGGAAACUGCCUGAUGGAGGGGGAUAACUACUGGAAACGGUAGCUAAUAACGCAUACCAUCGGAUGUGCCCAGCUGGGAUUAGCUAGUAGGUGGGGUAAAGGCUCACCUAGGCGAAGAUCCCUAGCUGGUCUGAGAGGAUGACCAGACACACUGGAACGGAGACACGGUCCAGACUCCUACGGGAGGCAGCAGUGGGGAAUAUUGCACAAUGGGGGCAAGCCUGAUGCAGCCAUGCCGCGUGUAUGAAGAAGGCCUUCGGGUUGUAAAGUACUUUCAGCGGGGAGGCGGUACCCGCAGAAGAAGCACCGGCUAACUCCGUGCCAGCAGCCGCGGUAAUAC
rnacentral:rRNA from 1 species